rnacentral:rRNA from 1 species
GUGGGGAAUCUUGCGCAAUGGGCGAAAGCCUGACGCAGCCAUGCCGCGUGAAUGAUGAAGGUCUUAGGAUUGUAAAAUUCUUUCACCGGGGACGAUAAUGACGGUACCCGGAGAAGAAGCCCCGGCUAACUUCGUGCCAGCAGCCGCGGUAAUACGAAGGGGGCUAGCGUUGCUCGGAAUUACUGGGCGUAAAGGGCGCGUAGGCGGACAGUUUAGUCAGAGGUGAAAGCCCAGGGCUCAACCUUGGAAUGGCCUUUGAUACUGGCUGUCUUGAGUACGGGAGAGGUGAGUGGAACUCCGAGUGUAGAGGUGAAAUUCGUAGAUAUUCGGAAGAACACCAGUGGCGAAGGCGACUCACUGGCCCGUUACUGACGCUGAGGCGCGAAAGCGUGGGGAGCAAACAGGAUUAGAUACCCCGGUAGUCC